UCCAGAUGCACAUUUGUCUGGGAUACUUUUCAAAGUGUCAGCCCUACGCCCAGAGGUUCUGAUUCAUUUGGUCUGGUGGGACCUGGAUGCCAGUAUUUUUAACAGCUUUCUGCAGAUGACAAUAGCCAAGCCUGACUACUGCUUGAGACUCCUUCAUUUAUUCUUCAAAAGUCAAGUUGGAGUGCCCGCUCUGUGCCACGCAGUAUAUUACAUGCUGAUAGAGACGCGAACCAGCAGAUAAAAUCGUUCUCGUGAAGCUCACACUCCAUGGAGGAAGGCAAGCAAUAAAACCAUUAAUAAAUGAAUAAAUAAAUAGUGCUAAUAAAUAAAUAAGCACUAUCCAGAAAAACAAGACCAGAGUAUGGGUAAUGAGAAGAAGCAAGCCGUCAGCAGCUCGGGAGGAAGAACAUUUGAGGCAGAGGGGACAGCCAAUGCAAAGGCUAAGAGGCAGGAACAGAUUGACCUAUUCCAGAAAGAGAAAGAAGGCCAAUGUGGCUGAGAUUUGGUGAAUGAAGAAGAGCGAAACAUGGAGGAGGUCAGAGAGACAGGCAGCAGGGAGCCGUCAUGGAACUUUGCCGUCAAAUGUUCUACCACUUGUCAUGGAGCUUUGUAAACAAGGCCACGGAAUAUGGAUUUUAUUGUAUAAGCAAUAGGAUGUCAACAGACAUGGAGGAAUGAUGGGCUCUGAUUUACAUUUUCAAGUGCUAACUCUGGCUGCUGGUUGGAGAAAGAACUAGAUGGGGCAAAGAGUAGGAAUGGAUAGACCAAGUAGGAGACAAAAGCAAUUGUCCAGAUUAUCAGUUCCCUGAGGGCAAAGCCUCUGGAAAAUAUUACUGUUCCUCAUCACAGCCUGGAUGCCGCACACGAGAACACCCCAAAGAGACCGGCGUGUGGCCUGGAUUUGCCUAACCUUGGCUGCGACAUCAGAGCUCAGGGAUCCAGUUACAGAUCAGCCCAGAGGUCUGUUUCUGAUCAGCUCGGCAGCCAUCUGUAAUGCCUGCUAGUCAUUUAACCUGGCAGAGAGUAAGGGCCUCUCCCCCAAAUAGAGUGUAAAACCACAACCACAGCCCGCAAGACCUUGAGACGUGCAAAUCCAGCGAUUACCCAAUGGCAAGUAUGGGUGUGCUGGAAGGCAGCCUUUUCCAAGUCUUCUAAGUCCAGAAUCACUUGGAUCACAUCACACUUGCCCAAGAUGGACACAACGGGGUGCGUGACAUUCUGACUUCAACAACCCCCACCAUUUCAGAGUCCUGAGGAUGACUUUGAAUCUGGAUGCUUCUGAGGCCUCAAAUGCUCACAUCACCUGGAGACUCUGCAAGACGAAGAAGCUGUGGGAUUGGCUGGCGGUGAUGUCACAGCCACGCCAGCACUGCCUUCUGAGUGGCUGUCUGCCCCCCUUGACUAUCUCCUACCCCAUCUUGAUUUAUACAUGAUAUAAUAUCCAAAGCAGCGCUCAAGGAAUCUUCCUUAGCCUCAGCCUCCUACCGCCACCCCAGGCAUGUAAUAAUGUCCCAGAAAUACACAGGCUGCCAUAUCUUAUUACAUAAAUAUAGGCCUGAGAAGCUUCUCCAUGUGACAGUAGGAAGCAAGUGCCACCCAGGAAUGGCCCCGGGGAAGAGGGAGACAGAGCACUAUCAUCUCAGAGUUCUUAAGUGGAAAUAUUAUCUCCCAGCAUCGUUCCAAUUAAAAUUGGAAAAUAUGGGGCCCCACCUCCCCUUUCCAAUAUGUUGGAGCAGGAACACAGGGAAGGAUAUGCACCCAGAAGUCCUGCUUUGUUCCCUGGCUCUGCUGGGCAUUUCAGUGUGUUGAGAAGGUCACUGUCUUCUGAGUUGUGGUUUCCUCCUCUCUAGAAUAAGGGGAAACGGUACAACCUGCCAGGUGAAUUUUUGACAGAAUGAAAGGACACCACAGGUGUGAAAAUACAAACUACAGCCACACAAAUUUCAUUUCAUAAUCAUCAUAACAACAGUGAUAAUAAUGAUAAAUUUCCAUGCCUCUUGA